rnacentral:rRNA from 1 species
CCUGGCGGCCUUAGCGCGGUGGUCCCACCUGACCCCAUGCCGAACUCAGAAGUGAAACGCCGUAGCGCCGAUGGUAGUGUUGGGUCUCCCCAUGCGAGAGUAGGGAACUGCCAGGC